GACGAACGCCGGCGGCGUGCCUAAUACAUGCAAGUCGAGCGGGAACCUCGGGAGGGGUAACCCUUCCGAGGGGAGAGCGGCGAACGGGUGAGUAACACGUGGGCAACCUGCCCCGGACUCCGGGAUAACUCAGGGAAACCUGGGCUAAUACCGGAUACUUCGGCGUGAUCGCAUGGUCGUGCCGGGAAAGCUCCGACGGUCCGGGAUGGGCCCGCGGCCUAUCAGCUUGUUGGUGGGGUAACGGCCUACCAAGGCGGCGACGGGUAGCUGGUCUGAGAGGACGGCCAGCCACACUGGGACUGAGACACGGCCCAGACUCCUACGGGAGGCAGCAGUAGGGAAUCUUGCGCUAAUGCGCGAAAGCGUGACGCAGCGACGCCGCGUGCGGGAUGGAGGCCCUCGGGUCGUAAACCGCUUUCGGCAGGGACGAAGCGAAAGUGACGGUACCUGCAGAAGAAGUCCCGGCUAACUACGUGCCAGCAGCCGCGGUAACACGUAGGGGACGAGCGUUGUCCGGAUUCAUUGGGCGUAAAGCGCG
rnacentral:rRNA from 1 species